rnacentral:misc_RNA from 1 species
AACCAUUCUCACCUGCGGCUAGACCUGCGGAAGGAUCAUUACCGAGUGCGGGUCCGCGUGGCCCAACCUCCCACCCGUGCCUAUUGUACCCUGUUGCUUCGGCGGGCCCGCCAGCCUUCGGGCUGGCCGCCGGGGGGCGUCUCGCCCCCGGGCCCGUGCCCGCCGGAGACCCCAACAUGAACCCUGUUCUGAAAGCUUGGUGUCUGAGUGUGAUUGUUUGCAAUCAGUUAAAACUUUCAG